CUUGCCGAGGAGCGCUGCGAGACUUUCGUCCCAGGCUCGGCUUCCGGAACUGCGCUCACCUUAA
rnacentral:ncRNA from 2 species